rnacentral:tRNA from 1 species
ACCUGGCUGGCUCAGUCAGUAGAGCAUAUGACUCUUGAUCUCAGGGUCAUGGGUUCAAGCCCCAUGUUGGGCA